AUGCAUGUCUAUGUUCAAACGGCUUUGAAUAGUGAAACCGCGAACGGCUCAUUACAACAGCUAUUAUCUACUUGACGAUGACAUCCUACUCGGAUAACUGUGGUAAUUCUAGAGCUAAUACGUGUUAGAAUGCUCCGAUACUUUUGACGAGCGCAAAAAUUGGACCAAAAUCAACGGAGCUACGGCUCGUCAAUUGAUAACUCUGAAUAACUAAAGCCGAUCGCAUGGUCUAGUACCAGCGACAUGUCUAUCGAGUGUCUGCCAAAUCAACUGUCGAUGGUAGUUUAUAUGACUACCAUGGUUGUAACGGGUAACGGAGAAUAAGGGUUCGACUCCGGAGACCAAGCCUGAGAAAUGGCUGGGACAUCCAAGGAAGGCAGCAGGCGCGCAAAUUACCCACUCUCAGUACGAGGAGGUAGUGACGAAAAAUAACCCCACCGUUCUCUAUGAGGCCGGUCAUCGGAAUGGGCACAGUCUUUUUCCCUUAACGAGGAUCUAUGAGAGGGCAAGUCUGGUGCCAGCAGCCGCGGUAAUUCCAGCUCUCAAAGUGUAUAUCGUCAUUGCUGCGGUUAAAAAGCUCGUAGUUGGAUCUGCGCCGUAGAACUUGGUCCGCUCACUGAGUGUGAACUGAGCUUCUCGGCUAAAGUUGUUGGUUUUCCCUUUGUUGCCUUGAUCCCUUGCUGAGGGUGGCUAGCGAAUUUACCUUGAAAAAAUUAGAGUGCUUCUUUCAGGCUUUCGCCUGCAUAUCUGUGCGUGGAAUAAUGGAACAGGAUUUCGGUCCUAUUUUGUUGGUUUUCUGAACCGAAAUAAUGGUUAAGAGGGACAGACGGGGGCAUUCGU
rnacentral:rRNA from 1 species